rnacentral:pre_miRNA from 7 species
GGUACUUGGAGAGUGGUUAUCCCUGUCCUCUUCGCUUCACUCAUGCCGAAUCGUACAGGGUCAUCCACUUUUUCAGUAUC